rnacentral:sRNA from 1 species
CGGCCGCGUCGACGGGAAACCGAGUCUUAAUAGGGCGUCGUAGUUGCAGGGUAUAGACCCGAAACCGAGUGAUCUAUCCAUGAGCAGGUUGAAAGUGACGUAACAGUUACCGGAGGACCGAACCCACUGUCUUUGAAAAGCCAGGGGAUGACUUGUGGAUAGGGGUGAAAGGCUAAUCAAACUCGGUGAUAGCUGGUUCUCCCCGAAAGCUAUUUAGGUAGCGCCUCGGACGAACACCAUUGGGGGUAGAGCACUGUUUCGGCUAGGGGGUCAUCCCGACUUACCAAACCGAUGCAAACUCCGAAUACCGAUGAGUGAUAUCCGGGAGACAGACGGCGGGUGCUAACGUCCGUCGUCAAGAGGGAAACAACCCAGACCGCCAGCUAAGGCCCCAAAUUCCUAGUUAAGUGGGAAACGAUGUGGGAAGGCACAGACAGCUAGGAGGUUGGCUUAGAAGCAGCCAUCCUUUAAAGAAAGCGUAAUAGCUCACUAGUCGAGUCGGCCCGCGCGGAAGAUGUAACGGGGCUCAAAACUAGGAGCCGAAGCUGCGGUCGACGCGGCCG